rnacentral:rRNA from 1 species
ACUUAGCUGAUUUCUUCGGAAUGAAAUUAAGUGGAUUAGUGGCGAACGGGUGAGUAACACGUGAGUAACCUGCCUUACACAAGGGGAUAGCCUUUGGAAACGAAGAAUAAUACCCUAUAAAGUCAAUUUAUCGCAUGAUAGAGUGACCAAAGAUUUAUCGGUGUAAGAUGGACUUGCGUCUGAUUAGCUAGUUGGUGAGAUAAAAGCCCACCAAGGCGACGAUCAGUAGCCGGCUUGAGAGAGUGUACGGCCACAUUGGGACUGAGACACGGCCCAAACUCCUACGGGAGGCAGCAGUGGGGAAUUUUGCACAAUGGGGGAAACCCUGAUGCAGCGACGCCGCGUGAUUUAGAAGGCCUUCGGGUUGUAAAAAUCUUUUUUAUGGGAUGAAAAUGACAGUACCAUAAGAAUAAGGUCCGGCUAAAUACGUGCCAGCAGCCGCGGUAAUACGUAUGGAUCGAGCGUUGUCCGGAAUCAUUGGGCGUAAAGGGUACGUAGGCGGCCUAGUAAGUUAGAAGUGAAAUAAUAUAGCUCAACUAUAUAAAGCUUUUAAAACUGUUAGGCUUGAGAGAUGAAAGGGAAAGUGGAAUUCCUAGUGUAGCGGUGAAAUGCGCAGAUAUUAGGAAGAAUACCGGUGGCGAAGGCGACUU